rnacentral:rRNA from 1 species
AGUCGAACGAUNAACGGUGCUUGCGCCGGGGAUUAGUGGCGAACGGGUGAGUAACACGUGAGUAACCUGCCCUUGACUCUGGGAUAAGCCUGGGAAACUGGGUCUAAUACCGGAUAUGACUCCUCAUCGCAUGGUGGGGGGUGGAAAGCUUUUGUGGUUUUGGAUGGACUCGCGGCCUAUCAGCUUGUUGGUGAGGUAAUGGCUCACCAAGGCGACGACGGGUAGCCGGCCUGAGAGGGUGACCGGCCACACUGGGACUGAGACACGGCCCAGACUCCUACGGGAGGCAGCAGUGGGGAAUAUUGCACAAUGGGCGCAAGCCUGAUGCAGCGACGCCGCGUGAGGGAUGACGGCCUUCGGGUUGUAAACCUCUUUCAGUAGGGAAGAAGCGAAAGUGACGGUACCUGCAGAAGAAGCGCCGGCUAACUACGUGCCAGCAGCCGCGGUAAUACGUAGGGCGCAAGCGUUAUCCGGAAUUAUUGGGCGUAAAGAGCUCGUAGGCGGUUUGUCGCGUCUGCCGUGAAAGUCCGGGGCUCAACUCCGGAUCUGCGGUGGGUACGGGCAGGCUAGAGUGAUGUAGGGGAGACUGGAAUUCCUGGUGUAGCGGUGAAAUGCGCAGAUAUCAGGAGGAACACCGAUGGCGAAGGCAGGUCUCUGGGCAUUAACUGACGCUGAGGAGCGAAAGCAUGGGGAGCGAACAGGAUUAGAUACCCUGGUAGUCCAUGCCGUAAACGUUGGGCACUAGGUGUGGGGGACAUUCCACGUUUUCCGCGCCGUAGCUAACGCAUUAAGUGCCCCCCCUGGGGAGUACGGCCGCAAGGCUAAAACUCAAAGNAAUUGACGGGGGGCCCNCACAAGCGGCGGANCAUGCGGAUUANUUCGAUGCAACGNGAANAACCUUACCAAGNCUNGACAUGGACCGGANCCCCCCAA